rnacentral:rRNA from 1 species
AUUGAACGCUGGCGGCAGGCCUAACACAUGCAAGUCGAACGAGUGGCGGACGGGUGAGUAAUGUAUGGGAACCUGCCUGAUGGAGGUGGAUAACUACUGGAAACGGUAGCUAAUACCGCAUACCAUCAGAUGUGCCCCGAUGGGAUUAGCUAGUUGGUGGGGUAACGGCGCACCAGGGCGACGAUCCCUAGCUGGUCUGAGAGGAUGACAAGACACACUGGAACGGAGACACGGUCCAGACUCCGAAGGGAGGCAGCAGUGGGGAAUAUUGCACAAUGGGCGCAAGCCGGAGGCAGCCAUGCCUCGUGUAUGAGGAAGGCCUUCGGGUUGUAAAGUACUUUCAGCGGGGAGGCGUUACCCGCAGAAGAAGCACCGGCGAAGUCCGUGCCAGCAGCCGCGGUAAUUC